rnacentral:piRNA from 1 species
AGACCAGGAGGGAAGAAAGACAGG